CUGCAAGUGUCUGUAAAGGUCCUCAGCAUCUGUUUGAGGGACCUGUUUGAGGGAGUUAAAGCGCUCGCAGAGACCGUUAGUCUGUGGGUGGUAGGGUGAGCUAAGUAACGGCUUAAUGCCACACACCUUCCACAGCUGCUGGGUGAGCACAGCGGUGAAUUGGGUUCCCUGGUCGGAGAGAAUCUCCUUAGGAAACCCGACCCUAGUAAAAAUUCUAACCAGGGCAUCAGCAACCGCCUCUGCCUCUAUAUUAGACUGC